AAUAGAUACCCGGGUAGUCCACGCCGUAAAACGAUGGAUACUAGCUGUUGGGGGCAACUUCAGUGGGCUAAGCGAAAGUGAUAAGUAUCCCACCUGGGGAGUACGAACGCAAGUUUGAAACUCAAAAGGAAUUGACGGGGGCCCGCACAAGCGGUGGAGCAUGUGGUUUAAUUCGAUGAUACGCGAGGAACCUUACCAAGGCUUAAAUGCGGACUGACCGAUUUGGAAACAGAUCUUUCGCAAGACAGUUUACAAGGUGCUGCAUGGUUGUCGUCAGCUCGUGCCGUGAGGUGUCAGGUUAAGUCCUAUAACGAGCGCAACCCCUGUUGUUAGUUGCCAGCGAGUAGUGUCGGGAACUCUAACAAGACUGCCAGUGCAAACUGUGAGGAAGGUGGGGAUGACGUCAAAUCAUCACGGCCCUUACGCCUUGGGCUACACACGUGCUACAAUGGCCGGUACAGAGAGCAGCCACCUCGCGAGGGGGAGCGAAUCUAUAAAGCCGGUCACAGUUCGGAUCGGAGUCUGCAACUCGACUCCGU
rnacentral:rRNA from 1 species